rnacentral:piRNA from 1 species
CCCACAGAGGCUGUGAAAAGAGUUGGGUA